GUAACGGCGAGUGAAGCGGCAACAGCUCAAAUUUGAAAUCUGGCUUCGGCCCGAGUUGUAAUUUGCAGAGGAUGCUUCUGGCGCGGUGCCUUCCGAGUUCCCUGGAACGGGACGCCACAGAGGGUGAGAGCCCCGUAUGGUCGGACACCAAGCCUGUGUGAAGCUCCUUCGACGAGUCGAGUAGUUUGGGAAUGCUGCUCUAAAUGGGAGGUAAAUCUCUUCUAAAGCUAAAUACCGGCCAGAGACCGAUAGCGCACAAGUAGAGUGAUCGAAAGAUGAAAAGCACCUUGAAAAGGGGGUUAAAUAGUACGUGAAAUUGUUGAAAGGGAAGCGUUUAUGACCAGACUUGCGCCGGGCGGCUCAUCAGGGGUUCUCCCCUGUGCAUUCCGCCCGGCUCAGGCCAGCAUCGGUUCUCGUGGGGGGAUAAGACCGCCGGGAACGUAGCACCCUCCGGGGUGUGUUAUAGCCCGGCGGACGAUACCCUCGUGGGGACCGAGGUUCGCGCUCCGCAAGGAUGCUGGCGUAAUGGUCAUCAGCGACCCGUCUUGAAACACGGACCAAGGAGUCGUCCAUUAGAGCGAGCGUUUGGGUGUAAAACCCGCACGCGUAAUGAAAGUGAACGCAGGUGAGAGCUUCGGCGCAUCAUCGACCGAUCCUGAUGUUCUCGGAAGGAUUUGAGUAAGAGUUUUAACGGACGGACCCGAAAGACAGUGAACUAUGCUUGUAUAGGGUGAAGCCAGAGGAAACUCUGGUGGAGGCUCGCAGCGGUUCUGACGUGCAAAUCGAUCGUCAAAUAUGA
rnacentral:rRNA from 1 species